GAGAGGGGAAAGAAAAGUUGAUCAACUCUGGGGCCACCAACUUGUGAAGAUGAAAGUUGAGCCACAGUUGCAACAGCCAUCAAGGACCUGUGAUUGUUGGAACAACUUCACUCUUCAUUAAGUGCUGGGAAACUCUAUUCAAAAGAUUGUAUAGGGCUCUGAGAAGAAAUUUCCCAAGUGGAAUUUCAGAGUUGACUGGUAUUUUUUUCUGCCAGAGCAUGGUAAUUGGAUGUUGGAUCAUAGGCCUG
rnacentral:lncRNA from 1 species